rnacentral:rRNA from 1 species
GAUGAACGCUAGCGGCAGGCCUAAUACAUGCAAGACGAACGGUAAGUUUGAUAGCAAUAUUGAACCUAGAGUGUCGUAAGGGUGCGUAACACGUAUGCAAUCUACCCUCAACAGGAGGAUAGCUCCCCGAAAGGGGAAUUAACACUCCAUAAGAUCACAGGAUGGCAUCAUUCAGUGAUUAAAACUCCGGUGGUUGAGGAUGAGCAUGCGCAUGAUUAGUUAGUUGGCGGGGUAAUGGCCCACCAAGACGAUGAUCAUUAGGGGAACUGAGAGGUUGAUCCCCCACACUGGCACUGAGAUACGGGCCAGACUCCUACGGGAGGCAGCAGUAGGGAAUAUUGGACAAUGGGUGCGAGCCUGAUCCAGCCAUGCCGCGUGCAGGAAGACGGCCUUCUGGGUUGUAAACUGCUUUUGCCAGGGGAUAAAAAGACCAAUGCGUGGUCAAUUGAAGGUACCUAGGUGAAUAAGCCACGGCUAACUACGUG